CCUACGGGAGGCAGCAGUGGGGAAUUUUGGACAAUGGGCGAAAGCCUGAUCCAGCAAUGCCGCGUGUGUGAAGAAGGCCUUCGGGUUGUAAAGCACUUUUGUCCGGAAAGAAAUCCUUGACUCUAAUACAGUCGGGGGAUGACGGUACCGGAAGAAUAAGCACCGGCUAACUACGUGCCAGCAGCCGCGGUAAUACGUAGGGUGCGAGCGUUAAUCGGAAUUACUGGGCGUAAAGCGUGCGCAGGCGGUUUGCUAAGACCGAUGUGAAAUCCCCGGGCUCAACCUGGGAACUGCAUUGGUGACUGGCAGGCUAGAGUAUGGCAGAGGGGGGUAGAAUUCCACGUGUAGCAGUGAAAUGCGUAGAGAUGUGGAGGAAUACCGAUGGCGAAGGCAGCCCCCUGGGCCAAUACUGACGCUCAUGCACGAAAGCGUGGGGAGCAAACAGGAUUAGAUACCCUGGUAGUCCACGCCCUAAACGAUGUCAACUAGUGUUGGGAUUCAUUCUUAGUACGUAGUCUACGCGUGUAGUAGACGCGUGGAGGUACGGUCGCGAGAGUAAACGUUAAAGUAAGUAGACGCGNGAGAGUAGACGAGACGACGACGAGGGAGAGG
rnacentral:rRNA from 1 species